ACUGCUGCUGUGAUGCUGACAGACCAGUGCCAGCUCAUGCCAAGGCUCCGAGAUCUCACCUGAACACUGACCAAUAGACAGCCAGAACCCGCCCGACUCUCCUGCACUAGUGCUGCUAACACAGGGGCGACCCUAAAUCUUCAGUUAAUGACAGGACUGGCUACAAGCAUCUUUGGUGUGGGAUCGAAGACGGAUCCCGAGGCCUGAAAGGCCCUUGUGAGCAGCUAAUCUGACCACGUGUCCCACAGGCCAGAGAUCUGCCACACAAGGAUUCCUAGAGCAGAACUUAUAGAAAAACAGUGGAUCUGGACUGCUACAUUGGCAGUGAUGGAGCAUUCAUCAGAAUCCUUGGUUAGUUGUUCCAAUGGCUAAUGACUCUCACUGUUAAACAUUUACAUCUUACUGCCAGUCUGAAUGUGUCUGGCUUCAGCUUCCUGUCUCUGCUAAUCUGACUAGCCUGUUAUUAAAACUUUGUACCCCAUGUAGGGGCAUAGUCUGUAUCAAGUCACCCCUUCAUCUUGUCUUUAUUAAACUAAAGAGACUCCAGAAGCUCAAUCACUAUAAGGCAGGCUUUCUAAUCCUUCAAUCAUUCACAUGCCUCUUAGAAUCAUAGAAUAUCGGGGUUGGAAGGGACCUCAGGUGGUCACCUAGUCUAACCCCCUGCUCAAAGCAGGACCAAUCCCCAACUAUUUUUAUUUAUUAUUUAUUUUUUUGCCCCAGAUCCCUAAAUGGCCCCCUCAAGGAUUGAAUUCACAACCCUGGGUUUAGCAGGCCAAUGCUCAAAGCACUGAGCUAUCCCUCCCCCACUCUUCUCUGACUCCUUUUCCAAUUUAUCCUUCCAGAACUGUGGGCACCAGUGCCAAACAGAGGUAUAACGGCUGAUACAGCAGCCGUCGCACCAGUGCCAAACAGAGGUAUAAUAACCUCUCUGCUCCUACUUGAGAUUCCCCUGUUUGUGCUCCCAGGAUGGCAUUAGCCCUUCUGGCCACGGUAUUACACUGGGAGCUCAUGUCCAGCUGAUUGUCCACCACGACACCCAGGGUAGAGUCCCUCUGACCGGCAUCCUUUGUUCCUAGUGGUACAUUUACAUUUAGCCAUACUAAAAUGUACACUGCUUGCUUGUGCCCAGCAUCCCACGGGAGCCAGACCGCUCUGUGUCACUGACUUGUCCUCUUCAUUAUUCACCAGUCCCCUAAUCUGUGGGUCAUCUGAAAACUUUAUCAGUGUUGGUUUUGUUUUCUUCCAGGUCAUUGAGAAAAUUGUUAAAUAGUGUAGGGCCAAGACCCCAUCCCUGUGGGACCCCACUAGAAACAAACCUGCUUGAUAAUGAGAACCCCCGUCUACAAUUACCUUUUGGGACCUACCACUUAGCCAGUUUUUAAUCCAUUUAAUGUGGGACAGGUUCAUUUUAUAUCAUUCUAGUAUUUUAAUCAAAAUGUCAAGUGAUACCAAGCCAAACACCUUAGAGAACCCUAAGUAUAUCAGGUCAACACUAUUACCAUUAUCAGCCAAGCAUGUGUUGCGGAGUGUGGGGGAGUUAGGGCCCUGCACCCCUCUUCCCGAGAUUCACUACGACUCUCAACCAGCCAGUAAAGCAGAAGGUUUAUUUAAGGACAGGAACACAGUCUCAAGCAGAGCGUGUAGGUACGACCAGACCCCCUCAAUUAGGUCCCUCUGGGAGGUUCAGGGAGCUUAGACCCCAGCUUGGGGUUCCCUGCGUUGCACCACCCAGCCCAAACCGAAACUAAACUCCCAACUCCUCCCGCUGCUCCUCUCCUUUGUUCAGUCUCCCAGGCAGAAGGUGUUAAUUCUCCCCACCCCCGUUCCUGGCUCAGGUUACAACUCAGGUAGCUUCCUUCAAGGGAAGUCCCCCCUCCUCACUGCAA